CUAUACUGCAAGUCGAGCGGACAGAAGGGAGCUUGCUCCCGGAUGUUAGCGGCGGACGGGUGAGUAACACGUGGGUAACCUGCCUGUAAGACUGGGAUAACUCCGGGAAACCGGAGCUAAUACCGGAUAGUUCCUUGAACCGCAUGGUUCAAGGAUGAAAGACGGUUUCGGCUGUCACUUACAGAUGGACCCGCGGCGCAUUAGCUAGUUGGUGGGGUAAUGGCUCACCAAGGCGACGAUGCGUAGCCGACCUGAGAGGGUGAUCGGCCACACUGGGACUGAGACACGGCCCAGACUCCUACGGGAGGCAGCAGUAGGGAAUCUUCCGCAAUGGACGAAAGUCUGACGGAGCAACGCCGCGUGAGUGAUGAAGGUUUUCGGAUCGUAAAGCUCUGUUGUUAGGGAAGAACAAGUGCGAGAGUAACUGCUCGCACCUUGACGGUACCUAACCAGAAAGCCACGGCUAACUACGUGCCAGCAGCCGCGGUAAUACGUAGGUGGCAAGCGUUGUCCGGAAUUAUUGGGCGUAAAGGGCUCGCAGGCGGUUUCUUAAGUCUGAUGUGAAAGCCCCCGGCUCAACCGGGGAGGGUCAUUGGAAACUGGGAAACUUGAGUGCAGAAGAGGAGAGUGGAAUUCCACGUGUAGCGGUGAAAUGCGUAGAGAUGUGGAGGAACACCAGUGGCGAAGGCGACUCUCUGGUCUGUAACUGACGCUGAGGAGCGAAAGCGUGGGGAGCGAACAGGAUUAGAUACCCUGGUAGUCCACGCCGUAAACGAUGAGUGCUAAGUGUUAGGGGGUUUCCGCCCCUUAGUGCUGCAGCUAACGCAUUAAGCACUCCGCCUGGGGAGUACGGUCGCAAGACUGAAACUCCAAGGAAUUGANNGGGAGCCCGCACAAGAGGAGGNAGCAUGUGGUGUAAUUCUAAAGGACCGCGAAGAACCUUACCCGGACGUUGACAUCCUCUNACUACCCUACCACAUAG
rnacentral:rRNA from 1 species